rnacentral:rRNA from 1 species
GGACGAACGCUGGCGGCGUGCUUAACACAUGCAAGUCGAACGGACAAAAGAGCUCGGUUUUUGUUAGUGGCGGACGGGCGAGUAACGCGUGAGCAACCUGCCCUUCAGUGGGGAAUAACGGCUGGAAACGGCCGCUAAUACCGCAUAAAAUAUGCACUCGGCAUCGGGAGCAUAUCAAAGGAGUAAUUCGCUGAGGGAUGGGCUCGCGUCCGAUUAGUUAGUUGGUGAGGUAACGGCUCACCAAGGCAGCGAUCGGUAGCCGAACUGAGAGGUUGAUCGGCCGCAUUGGGACUGAGACACGGCCCAGACUCCUACGGGAGGCAGCAGUGGGGAAUAUUGCACAAUGGGGGAAACCCUGAUGCAGACCAACGCCGCGUGAGUGAUGACGGUCUUCGGAUUGUAAAGCUCUGUCUUCAGGGACGAUAAUGACGGUACCUGAGGAGGAAGCCACGGCUAACUACGUGCCAGCAGCUGC